AAGAAACCAGAGCACGCAGCACCCCAGCUUCCUCAUAGCAGGAGAUAGCCAGGCAGAGCAUAAUGUGCAGUGAUAGCUAGGGAUGCUGAGAUGGCAGAGGCAGAAGAUAGAUGUUUGUGAACUGAACGUGGGGAAGGGAGAGGAAAGACUGAAGCCAAAUCUAUGGAGUCAAGCACUGUCAUCAGGACUGCGGCCAGUAACUGAGGAAAGACACCGGUUUCCCUAGUCCACUUGUUUGAUGCUAUUCCUGCUAACUUUUGUCACCUCUGCUGUCUCUGGACACCACCAGACACUGAGGAGGCCACCUAAAACACAGUGAUUGCUAAAUAAGCAUCACUGUUUUAUAGCCCAGCUAUUGCCAGCAGGAAAUUUCAACAUCCCUCAGACUAAAACGAGUUGGUGUUGAAAUGAUUGCAACUGGGUAUUCCCCUCCAUCAGCUCCUCAACCAUGAAACGCUCCUCUUCACUGGGCCCAACUUGAAAGUUUACCUUCAGGUAGAUACUGGACAGAAGACCUGGGAUUAAAUCCUAAUUCUUGCAACCUACUCUUGUAGUGAUGGGUGGAUGUUCUAGUGUACAUCCAGAUGUUGGCUUGGUCUUGCUAACUCGGAUGCAAAGAAAUUUAAAAGAAAGUUAUCUAGCCAUACUGAGAUAGGAUGGAUCUGGGAAGUCAGGAUGAGAGGUGUGCUAGCUCAAGAAAAUAUUGUAGGGUGCAGUUCUUGCCUGUCCAAAUGGUGAUUUUAACACUGAGUGUUAUCGGCUGGUUUGGGGUCCUGAGCUGCAGUGUACA